UAUACACAUGUCCACACAAUAUAUACAAUACAAAGUCUGGGAGAGAGAGAUAGAGUAUGCGACACCGACAGACAGAGUGGCCAGCCACCGGAGCCACGGCGGAUCUGGCGGCGUUUUCUCAGCAUCGGUGAGUGUUGUACCCCUACCUACACCGCAGAAGACAAGGAAUCCGGUGAGGCGGUGCGAGCUAGGGUUCUGACGAGACUCCGGUUAACUCCUGCACGAAUUCCGUGUAUCCUUCCCAUGGCUUCCAACUCCUUACAACCCACAUAGAGAGAGAAAUGCUAAAAUAGAGAUCAAAGAACCAGAGAGAGAGAGAGGGAUGCCCGGUUACGCAACCUACAUGGUCGUCUUCUAUCCCCGCCGAAUUGCUGGUUCCGAACAAGAGACCUACGGUUCAGACGGUGGCUGUGACGAAAAACUGGGCAACGACCAGGGUUCCGACGAACAUCUGGCGACUUCCGGUUAAAUUCCGGUGAACUCCGGUGAGAAUAUUUAGAGGCUAUGUUUCAGAAGCAUAUUCUGACCAGAUCGGUGACAGACAAGAUGGGACGUCGGCGGAUAAGGGACUUUGUAGGUUUGCGUUUGUUUGCUGUAGCGUGUAUUUGAGGUAUGGUGUCCGUUGUGGCGUCCUGUUUAGCCUCCAUUGCAUAAGGUUGAAUUGUAUGGCAAAUAUGGGAUUCCUUUUGGUUUCUUGGACCCCCUUCUGUUAGCAGAGUGGAAGGAUUGAAAACAAUCAAGUUAACUCAUAUGCCGGAGACGUCUUGCCUAACCAGGUUUGCAGCAACACCAGCUUUCUAUGUUUCAGCUUUACGUCCAACGUUAACCCGUAACAACAGUAGCACUUUAUACGUAUAUGUUUUUGUGUUUUAUUUAAGUGCUUCUAAUCUCAUUGAUCAUUGGCAUUUAUCUUCUUUUUUACUUUGGUCUCUUUUUUAAAUGUGUUAUUUCCUCUAACAGGUGUAAAUCAGAUGCUUUUUUGUUGUCAAGGUUGGUCCCCUUUUAGGUACAUGUAAUAUGUUCUUCUCAAACACAUUGUCUAAAGGUGUGCUUUAAGUAAUUAUUAUUAUUUUUUAUUAUUUAGGCUUCCUUUGUUUCUACUCAAUUGUAUUGUUUUUUAUUCAUGUGUUUUAAAAGGUUUAGAUGUUGUAUAUUUAGAAGGAUGCUAAGAAAGUGACACAUCAUGGUGACGUUCUUCACCUAUUUCUCAUGGCCUGUAUUUUUUCCUAUGUUUUCAUUUGUUAUAUUUCAUAUAGACGGACUAUUCGAAAUGUCAUCAA